GUGUGAUCGCGAUAACACGCCAUAAACAGCCAGGCCGGAGUUUCCUGAGUGGAGCAGCCGGGGAAACGAGCAGCAACGCAGCAACUGUGAAGAUUUGAUUUGGGCCAUUGACUCAAGUUAUUUUACCUCAACGAAGCGAUUUGUUAUGCUCCCAACAGGAGGAGAAAUGGACCGUCCUCCUUCAGAAUCCACCUGCGUUAAACUCUAUCUGUGCUCCAACCCAGAGGACAGCACGGUGGAGCGCAGAGCUCUGAGGGAGCGUGUUUUCCCCCAACUCAGAGAGCACUGUAGAAAAACACUGGGACGGGACGUCCGGGUGAUAGACCCAUUUGAGUCCAUUGAUCCAUGUCAUUGGCCAGACGAAUACACCAGACAGCAGCUGAUUAAAGAAUGCAGAAAAAGC
ensembl:lncRNA